rnacentral:tRNA from 1 species
GCGCGCGUGGCGAAAUUGGCAGACGCACUAGACUUAGGAUCUAGCGGAGAAAUCCAUGGGGGUUCAAGUCCCUUCGCGCGCA